UUAACUGAAACCAAAAAAGAGGUAUGUUAAUGUUAAUAACAUCAUUGAAUUUCAUUCCAGUUAAA
rnacentral:tRNA from 1 species